rnacentral:lncRNA from 1 species
UCUCAUAAUCUCUAGUGUAGAGAUCUUCAUCCUCCUAUUCUUCUUCUUUUCUAAGAGUGUCUUGAGAGAAAAGAAGAAUUAUCCUCAACCGUUAAGAUACGAUCUCUGUAAAGAGCUAGCACCCAAAUGAGAUCAAAAGCUUCUGAUUAGAUCAAGGCCUUAUAUGGAUAUGUGUAGAGGUCAGACGCUUGUGCUGCUUCAACGAACCUUCAGAAAAUAUCCGAGAACAUCGCUUUACAGGUGA